GCGACCUGACAAUCUGUCUAAACGUGAGUAGCCAAUCCUAGCGCAGGAUUCCGGAAUACGGGUGGGCAAAUAACGCUUGCUGGGUGGAUUUCGCUUUGGCGAGACAAGACGGAGGUUUUUUGCGUGAUUAAAAGUUUGGCCGAUGGAUAGUGAGGUUCAGAGGGACGGGAGAGUGUUGGAUCUGACCGAUGAUGCCUGGAGGGAAGACCGGCUACCUUAUGAAGAUGUAACGAUUCCUCUGAGUGAACUUCCAGAAGCAGAACAGGAUAAUGGAGGAUCCACGGAGUCCAUCAAAGAGCAAGAAAUGAAGUGGUCUGACUUGGCGUUGCAAAGUUUGCAUGAAAAUACUCCAAGUACUGGGACAUAAAUGGUUAGAUGUAAUUUUAUUUGAUUAGGUUGAAUGCAAAUUAUAUCGUGUGUCUGGCUGUUUGUUCAUUUGCUGUUUUUCAAAUAAAACUUAGAUGUAAAUGCCAACAUAUCUAUGGCUAAGAAAUGUUUUUACAUAAAUUCUGAAAUGGAAAGGUCUUGCGUUUCAGUUUUCUGAAGGAUCCUGUACAUUACAAUUAGCUUAAAUUAUAGUAUUAUCUCGAUGGUAUCAUGUUUGGAAGACCACAGUUAUUCCCAUAAACAAAAGAACUAUUCAUUCAAACUGCUAAACUUUACACCUCAACUUUAUCAGAAUACAGCCCCAGUGUUCUGAGCUCCAGCUGUAAAAUGAAUUCAGGAAAGGUAUUAAUGAUUUUGCAGGCUUUGGCCAGCCUAUGCAUGUCUGUUUACAAAUGCUAUAAACCUAAGCAACACUGAGAAUUAACUGUUGUUAUUUUUGGGUGCUUCACACCAUUAAAUGUAAGAAUAAAGUAAUGAAAAAUAAUUAAACAAGUUAGUGGGUAUAUGAGGAAUACAAUUCUUCAGGAUGUGGUGUUAUAGGAAAAUGAUCAACUUUCCACAAUUAUUUUUCUUUAAAUGGUGAGACACAGAGCAACACAUCACUGUUUAAGAUAUUGUGUAAAAUAAAAUAAAAAUAUUGAAGUUAUACCUUA